CCUACGGGGGGCUGCAGUGAGGAAUAUUGGUCAAUGGGCGCGAGCCUGACCCAGCAAAGUAGCGUGAAGGAUGACUGCCCUACGGGUUGUAAACUUCUUUUAUAAAGGAAUAAAGUGAGGCACGUGAGCCUUUUUGUAUGUACUUUAUGAAUAAGGAUAGGCGAACUCCGUGCCAGUAGCCGCGGUAAUACGGAGGAUCCGAGCGUUAUCUGGAUUUAUUGGGUUUAAAGGGAGCGUAGAUGGGUUGUUAAGUCAGUUGUGAAAGUUUGCGGCUCAACCGUAAAAUGGCAAUUGAUACUGGCAGUCUUGAGUACAGUUGAGGUAGGCGGAAUUCGUGGUGUAGCGGUGAAAUGCUUAGAUAUAACGAAGAACUCCGAUUGCGAAGGCAGCUUACUAAACUGCCACUGACAUUGAUGCUCGAAAGUGUGGGUAUCAAACAGGAUUAGAUACCCCGGUAGUC
rnacentral:rRNA from 1 species